rnacentral:lncRNA from 1 species
UGGAAGAAUCAAUAUGAAGCUCACAACUAUUUUUUCUAAGAACGGUCUCGAUGACUCUUGGAGUGGUAGAUUCAAACGUUAAUCGUAACAAUAUUAAUCUACGCGUACCGUCAGCUACAUCUUAAAGAUAUCAGUUUUAUAAUUGAAAUAAACUGUACCAGAUAACGUUUUCUUCGAUGUUUAUUUUGUGGUAGUAUCUUGUUCGUUUUAAUGCUAAUACCUGCCUGUAGAGGUCAAUAGAGACGAAACGAGUGGGAAAGUUUGUG